rnacentral:lncRNA from 13 species
AGUGGGGCAGUGGAACAGCAAAAGCUACACCAUGAUGGACCACAGGAGUAAUGACCACAUUAUUUUAAAUUAACCUGGCCAAGGGGAAGCACUUUCACAUUGUUGACCAGUAAAGAGUUUUUGGCCCCAUGAAACCUGGAUCC